rnacentral:ncRNA from 1 species
UUCCAAAACCACAAAGUUUUGGUCCUAAACUUACUGUUGCUUUUUACCAAAAUUACACAUGCAAGCCUCCACGCCCCAGUGAGAAUGCCCAUCACCCCCUAACAGAUAAUUGGAGCAGGUAUCAGGCCCAACCCAAAUAGYYGAAAACACCUUGCUAUGCCACACCCCCACGGGAUGUCAGCAGUGAUUAAUAUUAAAAAUGAGCGAAAGCUCGACUUAGUUAUGGUUAAACAAAGCCGGUAAAUUUCGUGCCAGCCACCGCGGUUAUACGAAAGGCUUAAAACAACAGACUUCGGCGUAAAGCGUGAACAGAGCAAUAUGCCUUAAAUUUAAAGAAAAAUUGCUACUCGGGCCGUAAAACGCUGAAACUAACAAGAACUACAACAUCUUUAAACACAGAGCAUGUUUGACUCACGAAAGCUAAGAAACAAACUGGGAUUAGAUACCCCACUAUGCUUAGCCCUUAACAUAGACAGCACAAAUACAAUGCUGCCCGCCAGAGAACUACAAGCGAAAAGCUAGAAACUCCAAGGACUUGGCGGUGCUCCAUACCACCCUAGAGGAGCCUGUCCUAUAAUCGAUACUCCACGUUUAACCCUACCACCUCUUGCCUUCAGCCUAUAUACCGCCGUCGUCAACUUACCUUAUGAGAGAAAAAAAGUAGGUAAAAUAGUUAUCAACUAAUACGUCAGGUCAAGGUGUAGCACAUGAGGUGGAAGAGAUGGGCUACAUUUUCUAUAUCAGAACACACGAAUAGUCAGGUGAAAUCCUGACUAAAAGGCGGAUUUAGCAGUAAGAUAACUAAGAAAACCUAUCUUAAACUCUGCUCUGGAGCGCGCACACACCGCCCGUCACCCUCAUCAACCAAUCAUCAACUUAUCAUAUAAAACCUUCGACUACACAGAUGAGGCAAGUCGUAACACGG